AUGCCUUUGAGCUCUGCAAUAUAUAUCAUGGAGAUGGUAUCAACUGUGCUCCACGACUGGAUUUCUUCUGUUGUGAUAAAGGCGGAUUUAAUUGCCAACUCUCUACGGAUAUGAAGCACGAAUCCCGGCUAUGCUAAUGGACAAUUGUUGAAAAAGACGCGGAACAGGAAAAACUCUGGUCAGUCGACAGAUAGAAGUUAUUAGUCGUCCGAUACGUGCACACUGCAGGAACGGAAAAACGUCACACUGGACAGUCAACCGAUGAAUCCAUAUCGAUCGACCGAUGAAGACCUACUGGUCGACUGAUGGCUUCCUAUCAGUCAAUCAAUAGCGGGCAAAAUAGAUAUAUUUGUUUCCCAGUCUGUUUUAGUUUAGAGUUUUAUAUAUUAAAGGCACGUUUUGUUAGGGGUUUAUCAUCAGAGAGAGGGUUAUUAUCAGAUACUUUUGAGCACUUUGAGAGGGAGAAUUUUGAUGGUGAGUGAGAUCUUGUUGGUUAGGGUUAUUGUGAUUGUUUGCGAGUUGUAAUCCAUUGUAUUUAUUCUCCAUAUAGUAAAAUCUCCCCAUCCUCUUUCUGUGGA